rfam:Jatropha curcas cultivar GZQX0401 scaffold906_44, whole genome shotgun sequence.
UAAGGUUACAAUGAGGAUUCACAGCUCCCUCUUCUGAGUUAAGUUGAGGAAAUCUGCUGGCAGAAUCGAACCUAAGACUUUUAGCCAUCACUGAGUAA